UACGUAGGGACCAAGCGUUGUUCGGAUUUACUGGGCGUAAAGGGCGCGUAGGCGGCGUGGUAAGUCACUUGUGAAAUCUCUGAGCUUAACUCAGAACGGCCAAGUGAUACUGCUGUGCUAGAGUGCAGAAGGGGCAAUCGGAAUUCUUGGUGUAGCGGUGAAAUGCGUAGAUAUCAAGAGGAACACCUGAGGUGAAGACGGGUUGCUGGGCCGACACUGACGCUGAUGCGCGAAAGCCAGGGGAGCAAACGGGG
rnacentral:rRNA from 1 species